UACGUAGGGGGCAAGCGUUGUCCGGAUUCAUUGGGCGUAAAGAGCGUGUAGGCGGCCAGGUAGGUCGGUUGUGAAAACUGGAGGCUCAACCUUCAGAGGUCGACCGAAACCAUCUGGCUAGAGUCCGGGAGAGGAGAGUGGAAUUCCUGGUGUAGCGGUGAAAUGCGUAGAUAUCGGAAGGAACAUCAGUGGCGAAAGCGACUUCCUGGACCAAUACUGACGCUCAUGUGCGAAAGCGUGGGGAGCAAACAGG
rnacentral:rRNA from 1 species